UUCAAUCGGUCCUCGCAUGAUGUCACGCCAACCGUUCUCUCGACCGACAACGCCGCAUGCUGUGUUAGAAUCACACAAAUGCUGCGCUUGCUCCUGGUCAACCUCGGCUCGCCGCGGUCAGAUGGUGUGUCAUUUCCCCGGCUACGUCAAAGAUUGGAGACCUAAAUUUCCCAGCGCAGCCCCUGACAGGGAAUAGACCAAGGAGCGAAUGACAUGGGACUAUGAAUACGAGGAAGCGUGUUUCUUCAAUAUAUGUGCUAAUGGAGCACUUGAUUUUCAGUUUUCCCAUUUCAUUUGCGAUGACAAUGUUUAAGACUAUCUGGAGCAGUAGCCAGCAAUUCUUUGUUAGUCUCCACGUAACUGCUGAGAGUUUUGCAAGAUCACUUUGGUCUCUGAACUCUGUCGAUGCGCUCACCGUCGGAUUGCCCCUGCAAAAAGAAUCAUUGGAGCUUUGUCAAAAAUGUUGCUUUGCACCGAUUAGAAUGUUGUGUUUUGAUGACGUUGCAGGAGCUUCAAAUAAAGGUCCACACGCACUUGUUCCAAUGCGAGGUUUUUGUCAUGU